CCUACGGGCGGCAGCAGUGAGGAAUAUUGGUCAAUGGCCGUAAGGCUGAACCAGCCAAGUAGCGUGCGGGAAGACUGCCCUAUGGGUUGUAAACCUCUUUUAUGCGGGGCUAAAUGUGUCCACGUGUGGAUGUUUGCAGGUACCGCAUGAUUAAGGACCGGCUAAUUCCGUGCCAGCAGCCGCGGUAAUACGGAAGGUCCGGGCGUUAUCCGGAUUUAUUGGGUUUAAAGGGAGCGUAGGCUGGUCUUUAAGCGUGCCGUGAAAUUUUGUGGCUCAACCAUGAGAGUGCGGCGAGAGCUGGAGACUUGGAGUGCGCGGAAGGCAGGCGGAAUUCGUGGUGUAGCGGUGAAAUGGUUGGAU
rnacentral:rRNA from 1 species